rnacentral:tRNA from 1 species
GGAGAGGUGGCCGAGCGGUCGAAGGCGCACGCCUGGAAAGUGUGUAUACGGCAACGUAUCGAGGGUUCGAAUCCCUCUCUCUCCG